UGAAAUAUGCAAAGUUUACAAAAUAAGCAAGUGGUUAUAAAAUAUUCAUUAUUGUCGGGGAAUAUUCGUUUGGUCGUGGAAUAUUCUUUUUGUCGGGAAUCUCCGUACGACGGCGCAGUCAUUGGUGGGCCCCAUAACGGAAAACGGUUGGAUGAAGGAAAACGACAAAAAUUGAGUUUUAUAAAUAACGACGUAAAUUGUUACCGUUAACACUGUUGGGUUACCUGGUGGUUAAAAUACAGUAAUACGCGUGGUUGCACAGUAGCACACGGUAUUGCACAGUAUUAUUGAAUUAUUGAUCCUUACGUAAGAAG
rnacentral:lncRNA from 1 species